ACGCUAGCUACAGGCUUAACACAUGCAAGUCGAGGGGCAUCAGGAAGAAAGCUUGCUUUCUUUGCUGGCGACCGGCGCACGGGUGAGUAACACGUAUCCAACCUGCCCUUUACUCGGGGAUAGCCUUUCGAAAGAAAGAUUAAUACCCGAUAGCAUAAUGAUUCCGCAUGGUUUCAUUAUUAAAGGAUUCCGGUAAAGGAUGGGGAUGCGUUCCAUUAGGUUGUUGGUGAGGUAACGGCCCACCAAGCCUUCGAUGGAUAGGGGUUCUGAGAGGAAGGUCCCCCACAUUGGAACUGAGACACGGUCCAAACUCCUACGGGAGGCAGCAGUGAGGAAUAUUGGUCAAUGGGCGCUAGCCUGAACCAGCCAAGUAGCGUGAAGGAUGAAGGCUCUAUGGGUCGUAAACUUCUUUUAUAUAAGAAUAAAGUGCAGUAUGUAUACUGUUUUGUAUGUAUUAUAUGAAUAAGGAUCGGCUAACUCCGUGCCAGCAGCCGCGGUAAUACGGAGGAUCCGAGCGUUAUCCGGAUUUAUUGGGUUUAAAGGGAGCGUAGGUGGACUGGUAAGUCAGUUGUGAAAGUUUGCGGCUCAACCGUAAAAUUGCAGUUGAUACUGUCAGUCUUGAGUACAGUAGAGGUGGGCGGAAUUCGUGGUGUAGCGGUGAAAUGCUUAGAUAUCACGAAGAACUCCGAUUGCGAAGGCAGCUCACUGGACUGCAACUGACACUGAUGCUCGAAAGUGUGGGUAUCAAACAGGAUUAGAUACCCUGGUAGUCCACACAGUAAACGAUGAAUACUCGCUGUUUGCGAUAUACAGUAAGCGGCCAAGCGAAAGCAUUAAGUAUUCCACCUGGGGAGUACGCCGGCAACGGUGAAACUCAAAGGAAUUGACGGGGGCCCGCACAAGCGGAGGAACAUGUGGUUUAAUUCGAUGAUACGCGAGGAACCUUACCCGGGCUUAAAUUGCAGUGGAAUGAUGUGGAAACAUGUCAGUGAGCAAUCACCGCUGUGAAGGUGCUGCAUGGUUGUCGUCAGCUCGUGCCGUGAGGUGUCGGCUUAAGUGCCAUAACGAGCGCAACCCUUAUCUUUAGUUACUAACAGGUUAUGCUGAGGACUCUAGAGAGACUGCCGUCGUAAGAUGUGAGGAAGGUGGGGAUGACGUCAAAUCAGCACGGCCCUUACGUCCGGGGCUACACACGUGUUACAAUGGGGGGUACAGAAGGCAGCUAGCGGGUGACCGUAUGCUAAUCCCAAAAUCCUCUCUCAGUUCGGAUCGAAGUCUGCAACCCGACUUCGUGAAGCUGGAUUCGCUAGUAAUCGCGCAUCAGCCACGGCGCGGUGAAUACGUUCCCGGGCCUUGUACACACCGCCCGUCAAGCCAUGGGAGCCGGGGGUAACUGAAGUACGUAACCGCAAGGAUCGUCCUAGGGUAAAACUGG
rnacentral:rRNA from 1 species